UACAGAGGGUGCGAGCGUUGUCCGGAAUCACUGGGCGUAAAGGGCGCGUAGGUGGCGCUCCAAGUCUGUGGUGAAAGCUCGACGCUCAACGUCGAGUCGGCCAUAGAGACUGGAGGGCUCGAGCACUGUAGGGGCAGAUGGAAUUCCGGGUGUAGCGGUGGGAAUGCGUAGAGAUCCGGAAGACACCGGUGGCGAAAGGCGGGGUCUCUGGG
rnacentral:rRNA from 1 species